rnacentral:rRNA from 1 species
GUUGUUGGGUAGGGGAGCGUUCUGUAAGCCUGUGAAGGUGUGCUGUGAGGCAUGCUGGAGGUAUCAGAAGUGCGAAUGCUGACAUAAGUAACGAUAAAGCGGGUGAAAAGCCCGCUCGCCGGAAGACCAAGGGUUCCUGUCCAACGUUAAUCGGGGCAGGGUGAGUCGACCCCUAAGGCGAGGCCGAAAGGCGUAGUCGAUGGGAAACAGGUUAAUAUUCCUGUACUUGGUGUUACUGCGAAGGGGGGACGGAGAAGGCUAUGUUGGCCGGGCGACGGUUGUCCCGGUUUAAGCGUGUAGGCUGGUUUUCCAGGCAAAUCCGGAAAAUCAAGGCUGAGGCGUGAUGACGAGGCACUACGGUGCUGAAGCAACAAAUGCCCUGCUUCCAGGAAAAGCCUCUAAGCAUCAGGUAACAUCAAAUCGUACCCCAAACCGACACAGGUGGUCAGGUAGAGAAUACCAAGGCGCUUGAGAGAACUCGGGUGAAGGAACUAGGCAAAAUGGUGCCGUAACUUCGGGAGAAGGCACGCUGAUAUGUAGGUGAAGUCCCUCGCGGAUGGAGCUGAAAUCAGUCGAAGAUACCAGCUGGCUGCAACUGUUUAUUAAAAACACAGCACUGUGCAAACACGAAAGUGGACGUAUACGGUGUGACGCCUGCCCGGUGCCGGAAGGUUAAUUGAUGGGGUCAGCGCAAGCGAAGCUCUUGAUCGAAGCCCCGGUAAACGGCGGCCGUAACUAUAACGGUCCUAAGGUAGCGAAAUUCCUUGUCGGGUAAGUUCCGACCUGCACGAAUGGCGUAAUGAUGGCCAGGCUGUCUCCACCCGAGACUCAGUGAAAUUGAACUCGCUGUGAAGAUGCAGUGUACCCGCGGCAAGACGGAAAGACCCCGUGAACCUUUACUAUAGCUUGACACUGAACAUUGAGCCUUGAUGUGUAGGAUAGGUGGGAGGCUUUGAAGUGUGGACGCCAGUCUGCAUGGAGCCGACCUUGAAAUACCACCCUUUAAUGUUUGAUGUUCUAACGUGGACCCGUGAUCCGGGUUGCGGACAGUGUCUGGUGGGUAGUUUGACUGGGGCGGUCUCCUCCUAAAGAGUAACGGAGGAGCACGAAGGUUGGCUAAUCCUGGUCGGACAUCAGGAGGUUAGUGCAAUGGCAUAAGCCAGCUUGACUGCGAGCGUGACGGCGCGAGCAGGUGCGAAAGCAGGUCAUAGUGAUCCGGUGGUUCUGAAUGGAAGGGCCAUCGCUCAACGGAUAAAAGGUACUCCGGGGAUAACAGGCUGAUACCGCCCAAGAGUUCAUAUCGACGGCGGUGUUUGGCACCUCGAUGUCGGCUCAUCACAUCCUGGGGCUGAAGUAGGUCCCAAGGGUAUGGCUGUUCGCCAUUUAAAGUGGUACGCGAGCUGGGUUUAGAACGUCGUGAGACAGUUCGGUCCCUAUCUGCCGUGGGCGCUGGAGAACUGAGGGGGGCUGCUCCUAGUACGAGAGGACCGGAGUGGACGCAUCACUGGUGUUCGGGUUGUCAUGCCAAUGGCACUGCCCGGUAGCUAAAUGCGGAAGAGAUAAGUGCUGAAAGCAUCUAAGCACGAAACUUGCCCCGAGAUGAGUUCUCCCUGACCCUUUAAGGGUCCUGAAGGAACGUUGAAGACGACGACGUUGAUAGGCCGGGUGUGUAAGCGCAGCGAUGCGUUGAGCUAACCGGUACUAAUGAACCGUGAGGCUUAACCU